rnacentral:rRNA from 1 species
GACGAACGCUGGCGGCGUGCUUAACACAUGCAAGUCGAACGGAAAGGCCCUGCUUUUGUGGGGUGCUCGAGUGGCGAACGGGUGAGUAACACGUGAGUAACCUGCCCUUGACUUUGGGAUAACUUCAGGAAACUGGGGCUAAUACCGGAUAGGAGCUCCUGCUGCAUGGUGGGGGUUGGAAAGUUUCGGCGGUUGGGGAUGGACUCGCGGCUUAUCAGCUUGUUGGUGGGGUAGUGGCUUACCAAGGCUUUGACGGGUAGCCGGCCUGAGAGGGUGACCGGCCACAUUGGGACAGAGAUACGGCCCAGACUCCUACGGGAGGCAGCAGUGGGGAAUAUUGCACAAUGGGCGGAAGCCUGAUGCAGCAACGCCGCGUGCGGGAUGACGGCCUUCGGGUUGUAAACCGCUUUCGCCUGUGACGAAGCGUGAGUGACGGUAAUGGGUAAAGAAGCACCGGCUAACUACGU